rnacentral:rRNA from 1 species
AUUGAACGCUGGCGGCAGGCCUAACACAUGCAAGUCGAGCGGAUGAGGGGAGCUUGCUCCUGGAUUCAGCGGCGGACGGGUGAGUAAUGCCUAGGAAUCUGCCUGGUAGUGGGGGAUAACGUCCGGAAACGGGCGCUAAUACCGCAUACGUCCUGAGGGAGAAAGUGGGGGAUCUUCGGACCUCACGCUAUCAGAUGAGCCUAGGUCGGAUUAGCUAGUUGGUGGGGUAAAGUCCUACCAAGGCGACGAUCCGUAACUGCUCUGAGAGGAUGAUCAGUCACACUGGAACUGAGACACGGUCCAGACUCCUACGGGAGGCAGCAGUGGGGAAUAUUGGACAAUGGGCGAAAGCCUGAUCCAGCCAUGCCGCGUGUGUGAAGAAGAUCUUCGGAUUGUAAAGCACUUUAAGUUGGGAGGAAGGGCAGUAAGUUAAUACCUUGCUGUUUUGACGUUACCAACAGAAUAAGCACCGGCUAACUUCGUG